UAAUUUAAAGUAUUUGAAGAAUGUUUUAUUAUCUUCCAAUACAAUUUUUAGCGGCAUUAAAUGCUCAGGUAGAUGUGAGAAGGGAGGAAGAGUUCGGUACCAAAUUGCGUAGUCGUGCACGGUUAGCAUGCGCAUCAAGCUACCAAAAUAAGUAUCUAAGUUGUGGGAAACAAAACAGAUGUAGGCCUAUUCGGUUGUUUAAUACAAGUGAUCAACCUAAUGUGAGAUUGAAGAAAUGCUGUGCGUAGAAUUACAGAUUAUCGUUGCGAUUUAUUGCACUAGAUAUUCAACGUUGGAUAUUACUAUAAAACUCAGUAUUAUCAAAAGGAGUUUUUAAUAAAAAGACAAAAGAAUAUUAACUGAAGCUAAGAUAAUUAAUUCCUACGGUAGUAUUGCCUACCUGUUUAUUUCUACUGUCCUUUAAAAUAAAUUAUGUAUUUCCUACACCAAUCCUGAGAGUAAAUUUUAUGCAUAUUGUGAAAGCCUAGCAGAUACUUUAGGGAAUGACUCAAUCACGAAGGAUGGUGAAGCCCGAUUUGAGUAUGUGACAAGAUGCGAAACUAUAUACUGAAUUGAAGUAUCAACAGAUGGUAAAAUUUCUGACCAAGGUUUGGGUGGAUAUUCAUGAAAUAUAAAUUUAUUCCAAUCUGGGAAAGUCGAAAGUUCCUUAAAAACAGUUAGCAAAAUCUGCAUGAAACCCUAUUAUUUAAAAAAAAAGUCUAAAAUGUUUUGUUUUUGUUCAAAGGCUCAGAUAUAAUGUUAAAGAUUUGAAACUUACAGGCCACAUGCUUGGAUUUGGAGUACCCAAAGUUUGAAUAAUACUGCUUGUUAACCUUAAUUCACUAGGCCAUCCUUCAGAAGAUCCAUCGUCAAACAAAGCUUGAUUGGAAAAUAGUUCAGCGAUCAGAAUGCCAAAUGUCCAACGAUCGACUUCAUGACCAUAAGAAUGACAGCCGAACAAGGUUUCAAUUGCUCUAUAAUGACCAGUUCCAAUCUAAAAAAAACGUUAGAAAUCUUGCAGGUUCGGCAAAAUAUAAAACUCUCUUUAACAUACUUGGGGAAUGAGUUCCUGCACUUCUUCUCCUGGAUGCUGUUUGGACCAAGCAAUACUGAAAUCAGAUAGAUAAGCGGGGCCAUUCAUUGAAUCCAAUAGUAUAUUAUUUGGAUGAAUAUCACGAUGCAGAAUCCCAUGCUUUUCUAGGUAUUCAAGGGCGCUACUUAUUUGCAAUACGAUCUUGCAUUUUGUAUCAAUUGAAAUUUCAUCCAUCACAUCUGAUAGAACAAACGAUUUAAAACUCGUUAUAAGGUAAACGGAUCCUGCUUCAUUGUCUAUGAAAGAGUCCACUAUCCUUUCAAUGUGUGGAUGGCCUAUUGACUCUAAAAUAAGCUUGCCUCUCAUGGCAUCGUGAGGUGGCCUUUUAAAUACUAAACCUUGAACUUUAAUAACAUAUAGUUUUUUGCUAUUCUUUCUUUCACCCACGAACACUUCACUAAUAGUGCCAUCCGUCAGGUGCCUUAUAUCAGUGAGCCACGGAACGAAAUGACCGACUGAUUUCAUUAAAUUUAUAAAUUCAAUCGUUCCUGAUUGAUUUCACUUGAAAUUUUAAGCCUAUCUAACAAAAUAAAAAACAGCUAAAACGUUGUAAUAUAAAACUUUGAAAAUUACUUAUCGCAAGGUGUUUUACGCAAUAUGUUUUUCUUUUUAUGCAAUGUGUUUGGAGGUGAGGCUUACUCUUUUUACAAACUUUAAUGAGAGCAGACAUAUAGAUAUGUACUGGCGGUGAAGGAUGGCCACCAGAUGAAAGCCUAACUGUGAUCUCGCAUGAUGAUGCUAAAAAGAUAUUGGAUAAUGCUUUUAAAAAAAUAUAAAUAGAUACCAUUCUUAUAUGUACUUUAUACAUUUGUAGUACACUUAUAAAGUCAGAGUAUGAAUUUUUGUAGUAAGGAAGAAUACUAAGAAUUCUUUUUUUAUUUUUAUUUUUUUUUCGCUUUGUUUGCUUGAAUGAAAAAAAUAUCUUUGUGAUAAUAAGUGUUUUAAUUGUUUUAGAGAUCAUAUAUGUGUCAAAUGCGUCUACAUUACCUUACUCGAAUUGUCAAAAAUGGUGAGAUGUAUAGGUUUAAUCUUUUACUACUUUAUCUGUUUCCAAAA
rnacentral:lncRNA from 1 species